UACGUAGGUGGCAAGCGUUGUUCGGAAUUAUUGGGCGUAAAGGGCGCGUAGGCGGUCUUGUAAGUCAGCUGUGAAAGCCCGGGGCUCAACCCCGGAGGGUCGGCUGAUACUGCAGGACUGGAGUACGGAAGAGGUAGCUGGAAUUCCCGGUGUAGCGGUGAAAUGCGUAGAUAUCAGGAGGAAUACCUAUGGCGAAAGCAGGUAUCUGGGCCAUCACUGACGCUGAGCUGCGAAAGCUAGGGGAGCAAACAGG
rnacentral:rRNA from 1 species